rnacentral:rRNA from 1 species
GACGAACGCUGGCGGCGUGCUUAACACAUGCAAGUCGAACGGGAUAAUUUGAGAGCUUGCUCUUAGAGGAUCUAGUGGCAAACGGGUGAGUAACACGUAGACAACCUGCCGACAGGAUGGGGACAACAUUCCGAAAGGAAUGCUAAUACCGAAUGAAGCGGAGGCGAGGCAUCUCUCCUCCGUGAAAGAUGGCCUCUGAAUAUGCUAUCACCUGUCGAUGGGUCUGCGUCUGAUUAGCUAGCUGGGGAGGUAACGGCUCACCAAGGCGACGAUGAGUAGGCGGACGGAGAGGAUGAGUGGCCGGCUUGGGAGUGAGACCCGGCACAGAGUGCUAGGGGAGGGAGCCGGGGGGAAUCGUCCGGAAGGGGCGCAAAACUGAGGGAGAAAGGCCGCGUGAGUGAAGAAGGACGUCGGGUCGUGAAGGUCUGUUGACGGGGAGGAACGUGCUAAGGGUGAAUACUCCGUUGUAAUGACGGUACCUGGCGAGGAAGCCACGGCUAACUACGUG